rnacentral:rRNA from 1 species
UUGAGGAGGGUGACGGGCGGUGUGUACAUGUCCCAGAGCUGAUGUUAAUUUAAAUAUUCUUGUUUAAAUUACUGCUAAAUCCGCCUUCAUUUUCUUUUUCAGGGGUAAAAUAUAAAUUCGUAUGUUUUAAUAUAAAUAAUGUAGCCCAUUGCCUCCACCGUAUAAGCUACACCUUGACCUGACUUGUUAGUAUGUUACUAUUUAGCCUACUUGAAUUCUUUUAAAAGGUAGGCUGUAAUGACGGCGGUAUAUAGGCUGAGAAUAUGCUAAAGGUGGUUAGGUGUAUCGGGGGUUGUCGAUUAUGGAACAGGCUCCUCUAGGAAGGUUGGGACACCGUCAAGUCUUUUGAGUUUUAGGCUUUCGCUCGUAAUCUUCUGGCGGAUUGUGUCUUAGUGGUGCUUAAGCAUAGUAGGGUAUCUAAUCCUAGUUUGUGUCUUAAGGGUCAUGGGUCAAAGUGUCUGUUGUGUUAAGGUUUGGUGUUCUAAUAAUUUGUGAAUUUGACUUCAUAAUUAUAGUUUUUAAUUAAUGAGUUAGAGUAUUAUAGCCAUGCUUUACGCCGUAAAUAUUACUUUUAGCUUAAAUUCGUAUAACCGCGUCGCUGCACGAAAUUUACCAGCAUU